AGAGAGAGGCAGAGACAUAGGCAGAGGGAGAAGCAGGCUCCAUGCAGGAAGCCUGAUGUGGGACUCGACUCUGAGCCAAAGGCAACUGCUCAACCACUUAGCCACCCAGGGGUCCCACGAAUUUCUGAUUUUAAGGUAACUAAAUGCAAGAAACAUUUUGGGGAAAGACAAUAGCCUUUUCUGCAAGAAACAGAUACAGUUGAAUAUGUCUGACUUGGGAAGAUAUCCGUGACAUAAGGAUGCAGGUCAGACAACCUUAUGGAAAGGCCUUCAUGGUGAGGAACUGAGGCCUGACAAGAACCACAGGAAUGAUCUUGGAUGUGGAUCCUCCAGUCCCAGGAGGUCCAAGCGGUGCACUUACAUGGCUGCUGCAACCAUCUUCAUCGCUGUGGCCAGGCCUGGCCUCCUGUGUCCCCUACCUGUGUCAAACACCUGCUUGGAAAUGGUAUCAACAGGACCUAAAUGGAGUGUCAGUGUGAAAAACCAAGGGACUCAUAGAGAUAUUUGGAGAUGGUUGUCAUUGUUCCUGAAAUACUGUAAGAGAAGAGAGGCUACUGGAGCCUCUGAUUCCUCAACUUUACAACAAUGGCGUCUGAC